rnacentral:rRNA from 1 species
UUAUGUACAUGCCUACAAAAUUGGUGCACCAAAUCCCAUCAGAACUUCGCAGUUAAUUGCAGUUGGGAUAGAGUAGUAUUGGGAUGGGUGACCUCCCGGGAAGUUCUAGUGUUUUACAUGCC